rnacentral:rRNA from 1 species
UACAGAGGGUGCGAGCGUUAAUCGGAAUUACUGGGCGUAAAGCGCGCGUAGACGGUUUUGUAAGUCAGAUGUGAAAUCCCUGGGCUCAACCUGGGAACUGCAUUUGAGACUGCAUGGCUAGAGUAUGGAAGAGGGAAGUGGAAUUUCCGGUGUAGCGGUGAAUGCGUAGAUAUCGGAAGGAACACCAGUGGCGAAAGCGACUUCCUGGUCCAAUACUGACGUUCAUGUGCGAAAGCGUGGGGAGCAAACAGG